UGUUUGUGAUGAUAAAUUUAAGGCUUGUUUCUCAAGAACAUUCGCAGUUCCCGACUAAGAGCUUUCGCCAGGCUUGAGAGCUAAUGCUGCUUUAUUGCUUUCUUGAAUGUCUGAAACA